GACGAACGCUGGCGGCGUGCUUAACACAUGCAAGUCGAACGAAGUGGCGAACGGGUGAGUAACGCGUAAUCAACCUGCCCUUCAUUGGGGGACAACAGUGGGAAACGACGUCUAAUACCGCAUACUGAAGGAGGGGUUUUCGUUGGAUUAGUUAGUUGGAGGGGUAACGGCCCAUCAAGGCGAUGAUCAGUAGCCGGUCUGAGAGGAUGAACGGCCACAUUGGGACUGAGACACGGCCCAGACUGCUACGGGAGGCAGCAGUGGGGAGUCUUCCGCAAUGGACGAAAGUCUGACGGAGCAACGCCGCGUGAGUGAUGACGGCCUUCGGGUUGUAAAGCUCUGUUAAUCGGGACGCGGUACCGGAAUAGAAAGCCACGGCUAACUACGUGCCAGCAGCCGCGGUAAUAC
rnacentral:rRNA from 1 species